rnacentral:rRNA from 1 species
CGCGUAGGCGGGAUGGCAAGUCGGUCGUGAAAUCCUUCGGCUCAACCGAAGAACGUCGGCCGAUACUGCCGUUCUUGAGGGAUGCAGAAAGAUUGGAAUUCCCGGUGUAGCGGUGAAAUGUGUAGAGAUCGGGAGGAACACCGGUGGCGAAGGCGGGUCUCUGGGCAUCUCCUGACGCUGAGGCGCGAAAGCGUGGGGAGCAAACG